rnacentral:snRNA from 1 species
AGCCACGCGGUGAGCACAGAGCGAACUAUUCUUUCGCCUUUUACUAAAGAAUACCGUGUGCUCGCGGCGAUUAGUGGCAUACGCCUAUUUUUGGAGGUGUUUCUCCACGGGAAACA